CGUUGCGGCAGCGACGGAGUGGGUGAAAGAACAAGUGGGGAACAAAGGUAGUUUGUUGUUUUGUUUCCAUGCUCUGGAUCAGGCCAGGGAUUAUCUGUAUCAUCAUCUGCUUAUCUUUACUCCACUUUCCCACAAAAUGUAGCCAGAGCGACUCCCAAUAUAUCAAAACGAAAAAGUAUGACCAUUUUAAAAAGUAUUAGAAACAACUAAAAUCAAUAAGGCAAUGAAUGGGGAAGGAAUUCCAUGGGGUCACCUUAAUUCAGCCUCUGUCAAGAGCUGCUACGAUUGCUAAAUAACCUGAAAGAUUAUUGCUUUGUGCCUUUGACAGCAGCUUGUUCUGUGAAGUCACACAGUGAAACUUCAUUUUGUAAGAAGAUACAUGUUCCUAUCUGAUAAUGUCUACAGAUACAAGAGAGCAUAAUCAAUGCUGCAAGAUUUUAAUCUUAAUUUUAAAAAAUUAAUUAAAUUUUUUAAAUUUAAAUUUAAAUUGGCAAGCAGUUGCAGAACCUCAAACUGAUUAGCCAGUGCCUCUGGAUGGAUCAGGCCAGGGAUUUUCUGUAUCAUCUGUAUCUUUAUUCCACUUUCCCACACAAUGUCGCCAAAGUGACUCCAAAUAUAUCAAAUGAACGAGUAAUAUUCAAAAAACUUAUUAGAAACAAUUAAUCCAAAUAUCCAAAUAUCAGUGAGUAAAAAAAAAUUUAAAACUAUGCAAUCAGCUUAAUUCAACCUCUAUAAGAAGCUGAUCUGAAAGACAUUUGCUUUGUGCCUUUGACAGCAGCUUAUUCUGUGACAUCAGCAGGUGAAGCUCCUUGUGGUGUGAAGAGAAACAUUGACACCUCAUAAUGUCCACUGAUCAAGCUGCUCUUUAAAGCACAUAUAUGAAAAGCCGUAAGUGAUGGUACAAAAUGGUAACUUUAUUAUUUUUUUUUAUAAUGAUAUUUAUUAAAGUUUCACAAAAAUACACAAAACAAAGAAAAAAGAAAAAAGUACAGCAAAAAAGUAGAAAAUAAGAAAAAACAUACAAAAUAAAACAGUUAAAAACACAAUAAUGUUCCAUAACCUAUCUUCUUUACUCUUAUUUCCCCGGACCUCCUCAUACCUCCCUUCUUUGUAUUCCAAUUCCAUUUGUUGGUUCAGCAAAUCCUUACCAUUAAUCUUUUACCCAAUUUUUAACCUUUUCUUUUCCAUGUCUCUUAAAGCAUUACAGCUAAAAACCUCUUAGUUUCUAUCCAACAUCCUUCUAAAGUUCCUUAAUUUUGCAAUAUUUCUGUAAAUAGUCCUUAAAUUUUUUCCAGUCUUCUUUCACCGACUCUUCUCCCUGGUCUCGGAUUCUGCCGGUCAUUUCCGCCAAUUCCAUGUAGUCAAUCACCUUCAUCUGCCAUUCUUCCAAAGUGGGUAGAUCUUGUGUCUUCCAAUACUUUGCAAUAAGUAUUCUUGCUGCUGUUGUAGCAUACAUGAAAAAAGUUCUGUCCUUCUUUAGCACCAGUUGGCCGACAAUGCCCAAGAGAAAGGCCUCUGGUUUCUUCAGAAAGGUAUAUUUAAGUACCUUUUUCAGUUCAUUAUAUAUCAUUUCCCAGAAAGCCUUAAUCUUUGGGCAUGUCCACCAAAGGUGAAAGAAUGUACCUUCAGUUUCUUUACAUUUCCAACAUUUAUUAUCGGGCAAAUGAUAAACUUUUGCAAGCUUGACUGGGGUCAUGUACCACCUGUAUAUCAUUUUCAUAAUAUUCUCUCUUAAGGCAUUACAUGCCGUAAACUUCAUACCUGUGGUCCAUAACUGUUCCCAGUCAGCGAACAUAAUAUUAUGUCCAACAUCUUGUGCCCAUUUAAUCAUAGCAGAUUUCACCGUUUCAUCCUGAGUAUUCCAUUUCAACAGCAAGUUAUACAUUCUUGAUAAAUUUUUAGUUUUGGGUUCUAACAAUUCUGUUUCUAAUUUUGACUUUUCCACUUGGAAGCCUAUUUUCUUAUCCAAAUUAUAUGCCUCCAUUAUCUGAUAGUAGUGGAGCCAAUCUCUCACUUUAUUUUUAAUUUUUCAAAACUCUGCAAUCUCAAUUUAUCUCCUUCUUGCUCCAAAAUUUCCCAAUAUGUCGGCCAUUUGGCCUCCAUAUUGAGCCUUUUCAGAGCUUUUGCUUCCAUUGGUGAUAGCCACCUUGGGGUUUUAUUUUCCAAUAAGUCUUUGUAUCUUAUCCAAACAUUAAACAAUGCCUUCCUAACAAUAUGGUUUUUGAAUGCUUUGUGUGCUUUGACCUUAUCAUACCAUAAAUAUGCAUGCCAUCCAAAUACAUUGUUAAAACCUUCUAGAUCCAAAAUGUCUGUGUUUUCAAGAAGUAGCCAUUCUUUCAGCCAGCAAAAAGCUGCUGAUUCAUAAUAAAGUUUAAAGUUUAAAUUUAAAACUAUGCAAUCAGCUUAAUUCAACCUCUAUAAGAAGCUGAUCUGAAAGACAUUUGCUUUGUGCCUUUGACAGCAGCUUAUUCUGUGACAUCAGCAGGUGAAGCUCCUUGUGGUGUGAAGAGAAACAUUGACACCUCAUAAUGUCCACUGAUCAAGCUGCUCUUUAAAGCACAUAUAUGAAAAGCCGUAAGUGAUGGUACAAAAUGGUAACUUUAACUGACAAGCAGGUGAUGCUGGACUCUGAAUUUUUCCUCCUAAGAGCAGCUGGGAGGAGCUGCAAUCCACAGCAGGAAAAUGACUCAGGAGGAGGAGAUAUGUGCUGCCCUUUCUUCAGAAAUGCUGCCUGAUCCAAUCUAAACAUUAAUAUAACUUCUCCAUAGUGGCUGCUGAGACUGAGACAACAAGGGAGAUUAUUGUACUAUUGUUAAUCAAUGAUAUAAAUAAUUUAUUAAUGAUACAAACCCCUCUUAGUUAUUCCUCUCAUCACCCACUCAUAAACACCCUCUCAGUGUUCCAUGCAUGCUAUAUUCUACACGUAUUAUGUCUUAUUAAUUUUAUAGCAAAAUCACUCUAAAAUCUCCUAACCAACCUGUGCAAAACGUAGGCCCAAACUACAGACUCCAUUCUCUGACAGCAUGCAGGGAAAUCAGGUGGCUGCUGUGCAAAUUGAUGCCCAGGGCUCCAUACUAUCCUCCACUGCAGUGCUGUGCUCAUUUGACAGAGGGAAAUGACGGAAGUUGCAAGGGUGUCUGUGCAGGGAUCCUAAGCACUAAGUGAGCAAAGAUGUGUGGGAUAGAAGUUAAGAUGGGUGCCUUGACUUAACAGCGUCAUCCUUGGCAUAUAGUGCAUAGCACACACACACACAGCACUCACAAGAAUCAGAUAUACCCACAUUUCCAAAGAAUUGUGUAUAUCCAAUUAUUAGGGCAGGUGGGAACCUGGAACAAUAAGAAUAAUUUUUUUCUUCUCACACAGGGCUCUGGGGUUUGGUGAACAAUGCAGCCAUUGCUGCCCCAUCAGCUCCCAGUGAGUGGCUGACCAAAGAUGGCGUUGCAAGGAUGAUCGGUGUCAACUUUCUUGGGAUGAUUGACAUGACGCUACACAUGCUGCCCCUGGUGAGAAAAGCCAGAGGGAGGGUGGUCAACAUGUCCAGUAUGGCGGGACGACGGGCAUGCUUUGGAGUACCCUAUACCGCAUCCAAGUACAGCGUGGAAGCCUUCUCUGACAUCCUGAGGUAAACAUGAUAGUUCUGUAUCUUCCUCUUUCUCCUUGCUUUAGUGGGAUGUCUGCUUCUCCAGCUAAGUUUCAAGCAGAGGACAGCAAUGAAUAAAGAGCAGGUGCUGGGACAUGUGGACUGCACCAGAGACUUACCAAGUAAUCAGCAGGGGUUUGCACACCUAAGUCAGCUCUUUUUCUUGAGGAAACAAUUUAAUGUACCAACAAGAGUUGUAAGCACCAACCUCCUGGUGGCUGCCUCUGAAUAUGCCUGAUGCCGGGUCAUAGACAAUGCCCUGGUGCCUCAAGACAGAAGAAGACAGGAAGCUGCAUUUCACCACAUCUCCCUCUCUCCCUUCUUUCUUCUUCUUCUUCUUCUUCUUCCUCUGCUUGUUCUUCUUCUUCUUCUUCAAGGAAAGAUGUUCUAUUCCAUGGAAGCCAAAUCAUGAUCUUCCGUAUUAUUCUGGUUCAGUAACAAGACGUGUUUCUUUAUUUUUCCUCCUCAAUUCAGGCGAGAGAUGCAUCCUUUCGGGGUCCGAGUCAGCAUUAUUGAACCCGGUUUUUUCAAAACACCCAUUCAGUCAAACAUGAUAGAGAGCUACAAGAAUGCAUGGAGCCAAGCCCCUUCUGACAUCAAGGAAGCCUAUGGGCAGUGCUACUUUGAGCGCAGUGAGUAGAAAUGGGCGGGGGGAAGAAUUCAGUUUGGUUUGCAAUGUGCGAAAGCCUGCAUUUAAAGCAUGUGCUAAUAAGUCCCACUGUUGCAGUGGAACACACACACACACACACACACAGAGAGAGAGAGAGAGAGAGAGAGAGAGAGACUGACCCUGAGACCCACCAGGCUAAAUUGCUGGUUUCCAAAUCCCACCCAUCAGUAAGAUGUUGUUAUGAUUCCCAAGCUUUUUGACUACAUUCCCCCUCCAAUGGACACACUGACACAUGUGUGUGUGUGUGUAAUCUCCCCCCUCCCCCCCUUUAAAAACAUACAAGGCUAAAUUUUGUACACUGUACUGGCCAAUAUCCUAAAAAAAAUUUUUUACCAUUUACCCUUUCAGUGACUGAGGUUGAUGGAGAUGGGGGGGCAUGAAGUCUAUUUACAGUGCUCAUUAUAUUUAGGAGUGGGGGCAGAACCUAGCUAAUGUGACACGUUCAGGUCUGUAUCUGGAGAGAUAUGAAAUCGCACCCAUUCCUAUCCUGUCGUUUGAUCUUUGAUUCAAUUUGGCAUACAGUGGUGCCCCGCAAGACGAAUGCCUCGGAAGACGAAAAACUCGCAAGACGAAAGGGUUUUGCGGUUUUUGAGGUGCUCGUAAGACGAAUUUCUCUAUGGGCUUGCUUCGCAAGACGGAACGUCUUGCAAGUUUGUUUCCUUUUGAAGUGGGAACUGGGCUGGCAGGGAGCGAGCAGGGGAGCGGCCUACCUUUCCCAGAGGGAUCCUCUUCUGGAGAGGGCACAGAGGAGGCAGGUGAGCUGGGAUCCAGCGGAUCUGGCUGGGUCUCUGUGCCGCCUCUGCCUCUGCCUCUCUCUCUCUCCCCCUCCCCACGUGGCUGCUCCAUUUUGCUCUAACUGCGCGAAGGCAGGAGGAGGCGGGACAAAGGAGGAGGAGGAGGAGGCAUCCACUGUGCUUGGGCGGCCGCAAAGGCGCCUUUGCGGGGGUGGGAAGAAGCCGGGAGCAGCUGCCAAGACUGUGGGGAGCCCGGCGGCGUGGCGCAAGGUAACGGGGGGAGCAAGGGAGAGUCCGCGCCGGGCGCUUCGUGCGUCCGCCCUCGGUUCCUGGGCUCAAACUUCCUUUGGCACCUCAUGGAGAGAGAGGGAGAGGAGCGGGCUGGGGCUUUGAUGUGGGACGCGGUUUGGCGGAGCGAAGACGCGGCAAGGCUUGGCGACAGAGGAACGGGGGCUGUUUUCAUGGGGAGGUGGGAGGGGGUGUCUUUGCCUCUUCCCGGCAACAGAUCCUCCAGGCUGGGGAAACUCCUCCUGCUGGGGAGCGACCCGCUUUGUGCUUUGCCCGCUAUCCCAUUAUAAUACAGUACCAGGGUGCAUCCGUGCUUCGCAAGACGAAAAAAUCCGCAAGACGAAGAAACUCGCAGAACGGAUUAAUUUCGUCUUGCGAGGCACCACUGUAUAUGAUACAUAAGGAGACACAUAGAAGGGAGAGAGAGAGAUGGCCCUAGUGGGACCAACUCAGCCCAACACUGCGCUUGUGGAGCAAAGGACCUUGGGCGGGUGGGGCCAGCAGGGUGCUGCUCUGGGCUCCUUGUUUACUGCACGGAAAGGGAAGCACAAUCAGUUGUGGGAGAUGGAGAGGAGACACAAAGAGACAGUUAUGAGGAGAUUUCACCCCUCCCAUAUCCAAGAAUCUCCUGAGGAGUCUGCUGAUUCUCCAGAGAGGAGGAAGCGUGUUCUGCUCUCUACUUAUUUUGCUCCAGCACCAAAUCAGUCAGUCAGUCAGUGUCGGAGACUGAGUGUUAGAGAUCGUGUGUAGAGAUAAGGUUGCUGCUAAGAGCAGCUGCAGACACUCAGUGCGGUGCAGCAUUCAUUUAUGCUUAGACCUAUUUAGCUCUGUAUAUAGUUUGUAUAGUUGUAGAUAGAAUAAAAGAAGAUAUUCUACAGAGCUGCUCUCCGAGUUGUUUAUAUACUCUGCUAGAGUCUGCUGUACUCUGCUUUGCGACGACUGUCUUCUUGUUGGAGUGGAUCCGGUGCUCACAACUCUAAGCUGUGAGUCCACAGCACUUUGACCUGUUCCUGUGCAGAAGGUUUUCUCUGGAAGUGCUACCCAGCUCGCCUAGCCCAGUCGGGGCUGAAGUGGAUGAGUCCAGUUGGUGGCACUGGCUCAAGGGCGAUGCUGACAAGUUAUACACACAUAAGCACACACACGGUCGUGUCCAGCGGAGAAAAGGGAAGAGAUUACCAAGGGGGGGGGAGAGAGAGGGAGAGAGGCGCACAGACACCCACACCAAAACAGCACCCGCUACCCGCUUGAUCCUGGGAGGCAGCUCUAAGAAAGGAGACCAGUUAAUGCUUUUUUAAAAAGCCGCAGAGAGGGAGAGGAGCUGGGCUGCCCCAGUGGCAGAGCUUCAUGGUCCGGCACAGAGGGGGGAGGCGGAGAGCAGGUGGGGGCAGGCUGGGGCAGGGCGUGUGUCCUGGGGGUGUGGCGGGGGGGAGCAGCCGCGAUGGCACCCCACCGGGAUCGCGCUACUUCUUCCUCUGCUAGUGGGUUGCGCGGGCCUGAACCCGGCAUAUGGCAACCCUUACCUAGAUACAACCAUUGAGCCCCACUUACUGACUGAAAUACAUAUUGACACUGUCUAAUCACCUAUUGCUAAAGGUUUUUAAUUCUGGUGCUGGAGGAGACUCUUGAGAGUCCCAUGGACCGCAAGAAGAUCAAACCUCUCCAUUCUGAAGGAAGUCAGCCCUGAGUGCUCACUGGAAGGACAGAUCCUGAAGCUGAGGCUCCAAUAUUUUGGCCACCUCAUGAGAAGAGAAGACUCCCUGGAAAAGACCCUGAUGUUGGGAAAGAUGGAGGGCACAAGGAGAAGGGGAUUACAGAGGAUGAGAUGGUUGGACAGUGUUCUCAAAGCUAGCAACAUGAGUUUCACCAAACUGCGGGAGGCAGUGGAAGACAGGAGUGCCUGGCGUGCUCUGGUCCAUGGGGCCACGAAGAGUCGGACACGACUAAACAACAACAAUCAGCUGCUGCUAAAGGUUCUGUCUUAAAGCAACAGAAUAUGUUCCCGAUGCCCCUCCUUAGAUUUAGACCUCCUAGGCAGAGAAAUCCAGAAGCUAACAUAUCCUUUCAGAACCCAAAAUAUUUAGGUUAUCUCCUGUGAAGUUAUAGGGCAGCAUACAAAUUAAAUAAAUAAAUAAAUGCAGAAAUAAAUGCAUAUAUAAUUUUGUACCACUAGCUUUUCUCUUGUUUCCUAUAUCACAGGUCUCAAAUUAUUGAAAUUCUUCUCCUUCACCGGCAGCAGCAACUUUCAACCGGUCACGGACUCUAUAGAACAUGCCCUGACCUCCUGCUCCCCUCGCAUCCGUUACUGUCCAGGAUGGGAUGCCAAACUCUUAUACGUUCCUCUGUCUUACUUGCCAGCCUCCAUUUUUGACUUCCUGUGGAGAUGCAUUUGGCCCAAACCAGCACAAGCCGUGUAGAAUAUUCUGAAGAAACAUGUCAGUUCUCCAAAUGAACCAAGGAAGUCUUUGCACUAUUAACGAUGUUCCGUUGUUUCUCUUUUCUGAAGUUCUAAACCAGUGGUUCUGAUACUUUUCUUCCCACGGACCACUUGAGAAUUGCUGAAGGUCUUGCAGGACCAUGGUAGGGUGCUCAGGGAU